rnacentral:rRNA from 2 species
GGGUUGUGAGGUUAAGCGACUAAGCGUACACGGUGGAUGCCCUGGCAGUCAGAGGCGAUGAAGGGCGUGCUAAUCUGCGAUAAGCGCCGGUAAGGUGAUAUGAACCGUUAUAACCGGCGAUACCCGAAUGGGGAAACCCAGUGUGAUUCGUCACACUAUCAUUACGUGAAUACAUAGCGUAAUGAAGCGAACCGGGGGAACUGAAACAUCUAAGUACCCCGAGGAAAAGAAAUCAACCGAGAUUCCCCCAGUAGCGGCGAGCGAACGGGGAGGAGCCCAGAGCCUGAAUCAGCAUGUGUGUUAGUGGAAGCGUCUGGAAAGGCGCGCGAUACAGGGUGACAGCCCCGUACACAAAAGCGCAUGUGUUGUGAGCUCGAUGAGUAGGGCGGGACACGUGGUAUCCUGUCUGAAUAUGGGGGGACCAUCCUCCAAGGCUAAAUACUCCUGACUGACCGAUAGUGAACCAGUACCGUGAGGGAAAGGCGAAAAGAACCCCGGCGAGGGGAGUGAAAAAGAACCUGAAACCGUGUACGUACAAGCAGUGGGAGCACCCUUUGGGGUGUGACUGCGUACCUUUUGUAUAAUGGGUCAGCGACUUAUAUUCUGUAGCAAGGUUAACCGAAUAGGGGAGCCGGAGGGAAACCGAGUCUUAAUUGGGCGUUAAGUUGCAGGGUAUAGACCCGAAACCCGGUGAUCUAGCCAUGGGCAGGUUGAAGGUUGGGUAACACUAACUGGAGGACCGAACCGACUAAUGUUGAAAAAUUAGCGGAUGACCUGUGGCUGGGGGUGAAAGGCCAAUCAAACCGGGAGAUAGCUGGUUCUCCCCGAAAGCUAUUUAGGUAGCGCCUCGUGAAUUCAUCUCCGGGGGUAGAGCACUGUUUCGGCUAGGGGGCCAUCCCGGCUUACCAACCCGAUGCAAACUGCGAAUACCGGAGAAUGUUAUCACGGGAGACACACGGCGGGUGCUAACGUCCGUCGUGAAGAGGGAAACAACCCAGACCGCCAGCUAAGGUCCCAAAGUCAUGGUUAAGUGGGAAACGAUGUGGGAAGGCCCAGACAGCCAGGAUGUUGGCUUAGAAGCAGCCAUCAUUUAAAGAAAGCGUAAUAGCUCACUGGUCGAGUCGGCCUGCGCGGAAGAUGUAACGGGGCUAAACCAUGCACCGAAGCUGCGGCAGCGACACUAUGUGUUGUUGGGUAGGGGAGCGUUCUGUAAGCCUGUGAAGGUGUGUCGUGAGGCAUGCUGGAGGUAUCAGAAGUGCGAAUGCUGACAUAAGUAACGAUAAAGCGGGUGAAAAGCCCGCUCGCCGGAAGACCAAGGGUUCCUGUCCAACGUUAAUCGGGGCAGGGUGAGUCGACCCCUAAGGCGAGGCCGAAAGGCGUAGUCGAUGGGAAACGGGUUAAUAUUCCCGUACUUGGUGUUACUGCGAAGGGGGGACGGAGAAGGCUAUGUUGGCCGGGCGACGGUUGUCCCGGUUUAAGCGUGUAGGUGUGUGUUCCAGGUAAAUCCGGUUCACUUUAACACUGAGGCGUGACGACGAGGCACUACGGUGCUGAAGCAACAAAUGCCCUGCUUCCAGGAAAAGCCUCUAAGCAUCAGGUAACAUCAAAUCGUACCCCAAACCGACACAGGUGGUCAGGUAGAGAAUACCAAGGCGCUUGAGAGAACUCGGGUGAAGGAACUAGGCAAAAUGGUGCCGUAACUUCGGGAGAAGGCACGCUGACACGUAGGUGAAGUGAUUUACUCAUGGAGCUGAAGUCAGUCGAAGAUACCAGCUGGCUGCAACUGUUUAUUAAAAACACAGCACUGUGCAAACACGAAAGUGGACGUAUACGGUGUGACGCCUGCCCGGUGCCGGAAGGUUAAUUGAUGGGGUCAGCGCAAGCGAAGCUCCUGAUCGAAGCCCCGGUAAACGGCGGCCGUAACUAUAACGGUCCUAAGGUAGCGAAAUUCCUUGUCGGGUAAGUUCCGACCUGCACGAAUGGCGUAAUGAUGGCCAGGCUGUCUCCACCCGAGACUCAGUGAAAUUGAACUCGCUGUGAAGAUGCAGUGUACCCGCGGCAAGACGGAAAGACCCCGUGAACCUUUACUAUAGCUUGACACUGAACAUUGAGCCUUGAUGUGUAGGAUAGGUGGGAGGCUUUGAAGUGUGGACGCCAGUCUGCAUGGAGCCGACCUUGAAAUACCACCCUUUAAUGUUUGAUGUUCUAACGUGGACCCGUGAUCCGGGUUGCGGACAGUGUCUGGUGGGUAGUUUGACUGGGGCGGUCUCCUCCUAAAGAGUAACGGAGGAGCACGAAGGUUGGCUAAUCCUGGUCGGACAUCAGGAGGUUAGUGCAAUGGCAUAAGCCAGCUUGACUGCGAGCGUGACGGCGCGAGCAGGUGCGAAAGCAGGUCAUAGUGAUCCGGUGGUUCUGAAUGGAAGGGCCAUCGCUCAACGGAUAAAAGGUACUCCGGGGAUAACAGGCUGAUACCGCCCAAGAGUUCAUAUCGACGGCGGUGUUUGGCACCUCGAUGUCGGCUCAUCACAUCCUGGGGCUGAAGUAGGUCCCAAGGGUAUGGCUGUUCGCCAUUUAAAGUGGUACGCGAGCUGGGUUUAGAACGUCGUGAGACAGUUCGGUCCCUAUCUGCCGUGGGCGCUGGAGAACUGAGGGGGGCUGCUCCUAGUACGAGAGGACCGGAGUGGACGCAUCACUGGUGUUCGGGUUGUCAUGCCAAUGGCACUGCCCGGUAGCUAAAUGCGGAAGAGAUAAGUGCUGAAAGCAUCUAAGCACGAAACUUGCCCCGAG